rnacentral:tRNA from 1 species
GGGGUUGUAGCUCAGUGGUAGAGCGCUUGCCUCAUACGCAUGAGGUCCUGGGUUCGAUCCUCAGCACCACA